rnacentral:misc_RNA from 1 species
UUUCCGUAGGUGUACCUGCGGAAGGAUCAUUAAUGAGUUGUCAUGGGGUUCGAUGCUGGCAGCCAGUUUUUGGAUGCAUGUGCUUGCCCUAACAAUCAUCUUCUUCCAAACACCUGUGCACAUUUUUGAGGGAGUCUUGAGUUGGUUGCCGCUCUUGGGUGAUUUUCUCACAUUCCCUUAAAUCAUUAUACGCUAUUAACAAUGUUGAACGUGCUCUGUGCCGCAAGGCCAUUAAUAUAAUACAACUUUUAACAACGGAUCUCUUGGCUCUC